AUUGCAUCUUGAUCCCAGGAACCUGUGACUAUGGUGCCUUCCAUGGCGAAAGUGACUUUGUAGAUGAGAUUCAGGCUCAGGUUUUGAGAUGGGGCUGGCAUCCUGGAUCAACCAGGUGGGCCCAAUCUAAUUGCACACGCUCUCAUACUAGAGGAUCUCUGCUGGCUGUGGUUGGAGGGAGAUGUGAGGAAGGGUCAGAGAGACGUGACAGUGCUGGCUUUGAAGAUGGAGGAAGGGGCCGAGGAAUGUGGGCGGCCUCUGGAAGUUGGACAAGCAAGGAGAUGGAACUUCCAAAAGGAACCAGCCCUGCUGACACCUUGGUUUUAGCCCUGUGAGACCUGAGUCAGACUUCUGGUUUACAGAGCUGUGAGAAAAUGAAUUUGUGUUUAAGCCACUUAAGUCCAAGAUGAUUUGUCACAGCUGCAGUAGACAACUAACAUGUUAUAUCUUGAAGAUACUUCCACAUGAGCACAGAGAGAGCAAAACCAUUAGUUCCUCAUGGUUAUACACAGUGCCUAGAAUGAGACAGAUGUGGGCUUGAGUCCAGGCUCUCCCACAUAUUAGCUGUGUGAUUUUGGGCAAGUUACUUCACCUCUCUGAACCUGUCUCCUCAUCUGGAAAAUGGGAAUGAUAAGCGCUCCUCUGCCAUGGGAUCACUAUGAUGAUUAAAUCAUGGAAUGCAUGUAAGACAUUUAGCACCAUGCCCACUACAGAGUAAAUACUAAAAAAAUGACAACUGUUCAUAACAUUAUGACCAAGAACUUUGAAAAUUAUUAUAAGGAACUUGCCCUGAGUCCUCGGGCCUCACCUUCCUCUCCUCCGACGACUCUCCUGUCUUGUGUGUUUGUUUACCUUUGUAAGGGAGCUCCAUUUCCUUAGAGAGUGGGCAGCAGUUUGAGGGCAGGGACCCUGUUUCAGACCUCUUGGUGGUUAGAAUUUGCAUCCUGUUCCGGUGACUGAGCUAUUAAGAGGCAAAGCUUCCGUGAGUGGCUGACCACAUCUGUUCUUUCUCUCCUUCCAAAGUUGAGGUUCUCUCCUUCUCAGGCUCAGGGCGUGCCUGUCAAAGGCACCAUUGGGCCCUGGCAGGCUCCCUUGCUGCUCCCACAUGGCAUAGCCUCUUGAAGGGGUGGGGGCCUUCAGGGUCCCCCUCAGUGUCCCCAACCGGCAGCCAUCCAGCUUUUGCUUGAGCUUACCCCCUCCUGGGCAGGCCACUCUGCCACAUGGUAGUUCUGUUUAUUAGGAAGUUUUCCUGCCUCCCUGUAACCCCUCUAUGUGUUUUCCCUUCUGGGGUUGCAUGGAAUGAGCCUCCUUUCCCUUCCACAUGGCAGCCCUUCAGCCUUUUAGUCCAAUGUGGGGUGGUGGAAGGGGCACAAACUGGGGAGGCAGAGACCAGGGUUCCAGUUCCAGCUCUGCCACUGACUUGCCACUGAUUUGCCACUGACUUGCUGUGUGGCCCUGGGCUUAAGUGACUUUUUCCAUCCCAUUUUCAUCAUCUGUAAAAAAGGAAGGCUAACACCUUCCUUUCAGGAUACCUAGGGGAUACUAUGGGAAGCAUCCCACACGUAGCCAACACCCAAUAAAUGCUGAUUUCUUUUCCUUCCGAUAACAGGUCCUGCCUUCUGGGCUCCUUAACGUCUCCUUGGGGAGUAAGGGGGCGGUUUGGAGGCAGCGCUGCCCCUCUUGCUGCCCUGGGCACGCAGCGCGCAGACCGACGUCCAGCCUCUGUGGGCGGGCUGGCCGUGGAUGCCUGGAAUCCUCCUCCUGUCAGGACAGUCUGCACCUUCAGCCCUUCCCUGGCCUUGGUUUCCUGGCUGGGGCACCCUCUCUCCGACGUGGGCGAAGCACGCCCCUCUCUCUUUGCUGAGGAACCAGGCGGGGCCUCUGCAUGAACCUGUCCAGACCCGCAAGUCGUUCUUCCCAACCUUCAGGGCCGGGGAGCGCGCCGGCUCACAGCGCUCACCUCGGCCCCGCCCAGGAACCCCCGCGGGGCUCUGUGGCUCGGGACGGGCUUGCACACAGCUGUUUCCACCACAAACACCAGCCCAAAUUCCUCGUGGCCUAGAGCACAAGUUCCCACAGCAGCCGAUGCCCCUGCCGCCCCCGGCCCCUUCCCGAGGCGCACAGCCGGGACUCUCGGCAGCCCCGCCCUGCCCGCAGGUCCCCGCCCGGAUUCAUCAGACGAGGCUGGGGAACAGCCCGCCCGGCCCUGCGUCCCCGCUCCCCUUUCCCUGCUUUGUUCCCUCCGCCUUCCUCAGCAUCACCUGACCUCGUGGACAUUGGAUUUCUUGUCUUUGAUCUGUCUCCUUCUACUUGAAUGGAAGCUCCUUGGGGGCAGGGGCUGCCCCAUUUGCCCACUGCUGAAUCUCUAGGCCUGGAAUGGCCGGACACUCACCAGAUGUGAACACAUACUUUGUUGACAGACCUGAACCGUUCAAUCUGUGUGGACAGAUAGUGAGUGGCAGCGGAAGCCUCCGGAGCCAGGACGGAUGGUCCCUGGAUGGGAAGCCAGGACCUUUCUGCUCCUUCAAGGCUAUGUCCCAGUGCUUGGCAUAUUGGAGGCACUCAAUAUGUAUUUGUAAAUGAACGAACGCUAGAAAGAAGAAAGGAUGGACUCUUCCCUAACCCUGUCCAGAGAUGCUUUGAUGAAAUGUCUGUGCUCACAGCGAGCAGAGGUAGCAGAACGUUCUCCCCUGGAGGAGUUUUUUAGAGAUGGUGACUCAAGGAAGAAAGUGUUAUGGGAUAUGGUCAGAAUACCACAAUUCUCCCACUUACCCCAGCUCCUUCCUCUCAGGGUCCUCAUUUUUGGAAUAAUGUCAAUGACACCUGCCUGUCAUUUUGAAGAAGAAAUGAGAAAAGAAGCAAUAAACUUUAAAGUGCUCUUCAAAUUUUAAGGAUCAUAUUUUACUCUUUGGAGGGCACAAAGAGUUUUAUUCUUACCAUUUUUUUGUAUAUAUCACAGAGACUGCCUUGCACAAAGCAGAUACUCAAUAAAAUAUGUAAUAAUUUAAUUUGAAUGAAAUAGAAUGUUCCUCAAGAUUAUUCUCUCUAACACCAAUGAGGAAAAUGGAAGCACAGACUGACAAAGGAUAAAUAGGCCAGGAGCAGACUCAGGAGUCCUGCCCCCAGACUCAUGCUCAACCCAAAGGUCAAGUCUCAACCCUCUGAGGAAAGACCCCAGUGAGGAGGUGCCUGGUUAAAGAGCCAGCUUGGUCAGCAACCUGCUGGGUGACUUUUGAGUGAAUUGCGUCAGCCCUUUGGGCCUCAGUUUCCUCAAAUUCAAACAGUUGAUCCUCACCUGUAACCAAGCAUGGGUCCUACAUGAAAGGACCUUGAGAAAUGCGAAAUGCCUCAUAGAUGCAAUUGCUGCAACCACGCACACACAGACUUGAAGUUGCAAGGCUGCCUUGCAAAUCCUGUCUGGAAGACACUGGUGUGGUGCUUUAUCCCUCACCAAGCGUCUUCAUCUGCAGACGCUCCUUCGAUUUACCCCAGACUGUGAGGUAAGUCAGGUGCUAUUUCUUCCAGGUGAGGGAUGAGGAAGCUGAGGUACUGAGAAGUGAGUGACCUGCCCAUCGAGUCAGAACUCACGCCCAAGUUUUCUGACGUCCAGUUCGAGGUCCUCCCAGGCCCCCACCCCACCCCUCAGGAAAACAAGGAGCCCCUCAGGGCUUUGCUUAUGGAGCACACGCCCAGGCGGUGGGCUCAGAGGGAACCAGGGCGUCGCAGAGCCGUCGGGGGCCUUGCUGCGGCCUGGCUGGUGGGGGCGCUGGAGGCCCGGGUUACCCAGCGCCGUGUUUGGAGAGGCGGGGGCGUCCAGGGUUCCCGGCGCCGAGGGCAGGCGGGCGGACGCUGUCUGUUUUGCUGGGCCGUGAGUAGCCCUUCCGGGCAUUGUGCUCCCCAGCCUGCUCGGGUCAUGAACACAGAGACCAGGAUGUCUUCGUAGUCGCCACAGCAACACCCCGUACUUCCCCCAGCAUUCCAAGGAGGCUCCUGGUGUGGUCACUUACGGGAGAUCUCCCAGCCGCCCUUCCUCCUCCCCCUCCCCCUGGACUCCAUCCUCCUCAGGAGGAGAUACUCAUCUAUAACUGUGGGGUUUGUGGCCUGGGAGGACCCUCACCACAGAUAUCUCCACUUGUCGGGCAGCUCUGUUUCCAGAUGUCCUUCUCUCUCCUUCUCUUUAAAAUUUUUUAUUGUGGUUGCACGUAAUACACCAUAACAUUUCCUUUUUUUAAAAAAAUUUUAUUCUGGUAACAUAUAUACUAUGUAAAUGUUUCCAUUUAAAUCACUUUCAAGUAGACAAUUCAGUGAUAUUAACUACAUUCCCAAUGUUGUGCUACCAUCCCCGCCAUCCAUUACCCAAACUUUUCCAUCACCCCAAACUCUGUACCCAUUAAGCAACAACUCUCCAACCUGCCCCCCGCCCCCAGCCUAUAAUCUCUUUUGUGUCUCUGUGGAUUUGUAUAUUCUAUGUAUUCAGAUGUCCUUAUCUCUUGGCCACAGAGGUCACAGCUAAUAUUUUCUGACUUGGGCACUGCACCAAGCUUCACAAACUUAUCUUGUCAGUAGGUCCAUGAAAUGGAAGUGAUUACAAGUUUAGAACUGAACAACAUACUAUUGUUAUCCUGCCGCUUCCCCACAAUGAAAAUAAAGGUAACUGAAGCUUAGAGUGGCCUAGUUGCUCACCUGAGGACACAGUGGUGGUAAAUGGCAGAGCCCAGGUCUCAACACCUCAAUAUCUGAGGCUGGGGCCUGUGUGCUGAACCCUCUGCCACAUCACCCUCUCAGGCAAGCCUGGUGCUUUGUGCUUUGGAGGUGGGCAAGGAUGAAAUGGAGUCAUUUGUUCAAGAGCCUUUGUUUUUGUACAAGAAACUUUUGAUUUCAGAACAAUUUUAGAUUCACAGAAUUAUUGUGAAGACAGUACAGAGAGUUCUUGUAUUCAGAUGUCCUUAUCUCCAAUUUGUACCCAGUGGGAGGAGAAGCUGGUGGCCUUUGAGGCAGGCUUGAUGCAAAAGAAGAAGGUCCAGUUCCAGGAUUCUGGUCUUGAAGCCCUACUUCGGUCCCAAUGUUGGGAGGAACCUGGGAAAAUGAAGGGCAGCUUUGCUUGGAAGUGGCACCUGCAGUUUUCAGCACCUCCUGUCCUUGGGCCUGACAUUAUAUAAUUAUAAAUAAUCGUCUGUGGAUAUUUGAAGGUCUGGGAGUUACUGUUAAAAUGAAUACCCCUAGGAUAUGAAAUAACCUUAGCUGUUGGCAACUAAUAGAGGGGAUUAGUCAGCUUCUCAAAAAGAGGAUGGGGUGCAAGACAGAAGUCUGAGGAAGGGUGCUGGGGGGAGCUGGGGUGUUGUGCUGUUUUGAAGCUGUUAUGUGCCCCAGA